GAUGAAGAACGUAGCGAAAUGCGAUAAGUAAUGUGAAUUGCAGAAUUCAGUGAAUCAUCGAAUCUUUGAACGCACCUUGCGCCUUUUGGUAUUCCGAAAGGCACACCUGUUUGAGCGUCAUGAAUACCUCAAUCUCCAUCUUUUCUUCGGAUUGAUGGGUGACUUGGAUGUUGAGCCCUGCUGGUAUGCUAUAUCAGCUGGCUUUAAACUUAUUAGCCGGCUCUGUACUGGAUCGGUUUGACUCGACGUGAUAAUAUUAUCGUUGAGGAUGCAUGUCUCAUGCAGCCGGAAAGUAUCAAAGCAGCUUCUAGCCUGCCUUUAGUGCACUUUUACAUUUUAGACCUCAGAUCAGGUGGGACUACCCGCUGAACUUAAGCAUAUCAAUAAGCGGAGGA
rnacentral:misc_RNA from 1 species